rnacentral:rRNA from 1 species
UACGGAGGAUCCGAGCGUUAUCCGGAUUUAUUGGGUUUAAAGGGUGCGUAGGUGGAUUGGUAAGUCAGUGGUGAAAGUUUGCAGCUUAACUGUAAAAUUGCCGUUGAAACUGCCGGUCUUGAGUGCAAAUGAGGUAGGCGGAAUGCGUCGUGUAGCGGUGAAAUGCUUAGAUAUCAGGAGGAACACCAGUGGCGAAGGCGGGUAACUGGACUGCAACUGACGCUGAGGCGCGAAAGUGUGGGGAGCAAACAGGAUUAGAUACCCUGGUAGU